AGUGAACGCUGGCGGUAGGCCUAACACAUGCAAGUCGAACGGCAGCACAGUAAGAGCUUGCUCUUACGGGUGGCGAGUGGCGGACGGGUGAGGAAUACAUCGGGAUCUACUUUUUCGUGGGGGAUAACGUAGGGAAACUUACGCUAAUACCGCAUACGACCUACGGGUGAAAGCAGGGGAACUUUGGACCUUGCGCGAUUGAAUUAGCCGAUGUCGGAUUAGCUAGUUGGCGGGGUAAAGGCCCACCAAGGCGACGAUCCGUAGCUGGUCUGAGAGGAUGAUCAGCCACACUGGAACUGAGACACGGUCCAGACUCCUACGGGAGGCAGCAGUGGGGAAUAUUGGACAAUGGGCGCAAGCCUGAUCCAGCCAUACCGCGUGGGUGAAGAAGGCCUUCGGGUUGUAAAGCCCUUUUGUUGGGAAAGAAAAGCAGCAGGUUAAUACCCCGCUGUUCUGACGGUACCCAAAGAAUAAGCACCGGCUAACUUCGUG
rnacentral:rRNA from 1 species